rnacentral:rRNA from 2 species
GAAUUCGCCCUUGGAAGAGAAGUCGUAACAAGGUUUCCGUAGGUGAACCUGCGGAAGGAUCAUUG